rnacentral:tRNA from 2 species
GGAUAAGUGGCGGAAUUGGUAACGCUUAGUAGAGUAAGAUUGUAAGCCAGACAUUCUGUAACCAUUCAGUGAGGCUCUUGAAUUUACAUUCCCGGUUCGAAUCCGGGCUUAUCCA